GAACUUUGAAGGUUCUUUGGUGGUGACUGGAUAGCUAACGUACAGAACAUUUUUCUAUGGAGUGCUGUGACCCCGGUGGAACUUAGGAACCGGUCAGACAUCGGCCGAGCCAACACGUCCCCCCAGACCACCAUACUGCCACUUCUGAUAGUUCCUUCAAACUGUCAGAGAGAUUUUAACCUGUUGGCGUUCGACCCAGACGGAGAUGAGGUUAGAUGCAGAUAUGGAAAUGCAACUCUGUCUGAGUGUGCUACCUGCACACCGCCGUCUGUUCUCAAUCUCUCAUCAUCCUGUACUCUGUCCUUCAGCCCCACCCUGAGCACU